CAUGUAAUCGUACUUUGAAACUUCCUCUUUGCAGAAGAUGUUGCACCUCCAUUGCCCCCCUGCAGUGUUGCCCACUAUAUCCAGGAAAAUGGAGCCCACCCAGGCAUCACACUGACACCGGCAGCCCAGGACAAGCCUCAGAGGAAUGGAACGAAGGGGACAGAUGAUGGCCGUCCCACUGUGGAAAGUCUUCUGAAUGAGUUGGAGAGCUCUGUGCCUUCCCCAGUGCCAAGCCCCUGUGCUCUGACGAGUGAACUGACAGACGGGCAGGUGGACACACCUUCCGAGCAGCAAGGCAGAAUAUCAGCCACAUCAGCUACACGAGAACUGGAUGAGCUCAUGGCCUGCCUGUCAGAUUUUAAGCCAAGUUCUUUGGGCUCCCUGAACUCUGAGCCAGUGUUUGAGCAAACUACUACCAUUGCUGAAAUCCACUGUCCUCCUACGACUGCCAUGUCCAAUUCCCUGUCCCCUACCCUCCCAGUGGACCCAAGACGAUAUUCCCCAGGUCUCUCCUCUCCUUUAAACUUUGAACUGCACAUUGUGGAGUUUGAAUCAGGUGAACCGGGGGCUGUGCCUCCACCAUCCAGUGUUGUCCGAAAGCCUUCCUCUCGACCGUCUCCACCUGUAGCAUCCAGUCCUCGUUUUUCUCCAGUUCCUGACCUGGACUUGGAUUCUUCCAUUGAUGUCUCUGCUUCCCUGCUGUCCUCCCAAGUGGAAUCUCUAGUGGUUUUGUCUCAGACUAUAACCACCACUCCCACACCUGGAAGUGGAGACCUUUGUAGUCUCUGGGAGGGAAGUCCUUCUUCCAAAUUGACAAGCUCUGGGCUGAAGGCCUAUUCGCCUAUCACCAAGUCUCCUAGUCCAACAAGUGCCCCAGUGGUCAGCAGAACCAAUGAAAGAGUUAGCCCAUUGAUGACACCAGAAUCACUUGAUCUGUAUCUCUCCAACUCUGACACAAAACCUAUAAGUCCAAUGCCAUCUCUUUCCAGAUCUCCAAUUCCUACAGUCUCUGAAUCACCAUCUCUGUCUCUUCCCAAAGCUAUAUCGCCACCUCUAAUCCUAUCCUCGCCUGUGGUGGUUCCCAAGUCUCCAAGCCCAAAACCAUUAUCAGGACAGCCUCCCACUGGACUUCAACCACCAACCUAUGAGCCAUCUCUUGAUGAUGCCUUGGAUAAACUCCUUGCCAUGAGCUUCAGCAGGCCUGAGAAUGAGGCUUCAAUCACCACAUCAGUGGCCUCACGGCUCACUUCGGAAGUACAACCAGAAGUCUACGAGGAUACAAUAGUAGCAGCGGAUCGUAACAACAUUCAUCCUGACACUUUUACAGAGAGUGAAAUGGGGGAUGGGCUCUUGGAGGAUCAGUCGGACUGCAGGAGUGAUCUUGACUGGGCUGACAU
ensembl:lncRNA